GAUGUGGGUUGUCUGAAUUUAGAGUUGAUGAGUUAGUUUUCUGUAUUUGGAGUUAAUAGGCUAGUUUGUUGUGUGAAUAAAGUUAAGUGUUGCGGUAGUUGUGAGGCGACUUGGAGGCGGGGAGCUUGUGGUCGGUGGGGGUGCCUGCGCCCUGGAGCCCUGGAGCGGGGGACAGCUUGUGACUACGAGAUAACGAUCUUGUUACCAUGCGAACACUGCCUGACUAAGAUUCCCGCCUUAGCUAGCUUAAUGUCUGUUAAAGUGAUUAGCCAAUCAGCAUGAAACAUGUGUGCCUUAGACUAUAUAAAUGUAUGUUUGCCAUACAAUAAAGCGGACACCUUGCUUGCAUCAAGUUGCGUCCCCGUCUCUCAGUCGCGGCAAAUUGGUGACCUCCGACGUGAUCGUCAGCGACGAAACCGCCGAGGAUUGAAAAACCGCCUACCUGGUGGCAUGUCGCGAGUCCCGCAGAACGUGGAAUGAGCUGCUGAAAGGAAGCAGGAUAAGCCGGCCGGCCAAACAAUCCCUCCGUCUGGAACGAGAGCGUCAACAUGCAAGCUCCUUUGCAAAGAUACCAGUGGAUUGUGCUACCGCAGGGAAUGAAAAAUAGCCCUACAAUAUGCCAAUGGUAUGUAGCAAAAAUACUUAGUCCUAUCAGAACUGUAGUACCUGCUGCAUUGUUAUAUCAUUAUAUGGAUGACAUUCUAGUGGCAGCACAGCACCAUGAAGUCAUGGAGGAAGCUGUAGCCCUUGUCGUGGCUGCUGUAAAAUCAGCAGACCUCUGUAUUGCACCAGAAAAAAUUCAAAAAAUACCACCUUGGAAAUACUUAGGAUGGCGUAUAAGGGCUCAGACUAUUGCUCCGCAACCUUUACAAAUACAGGCGAAUGUAAAGAAUUUACAUGACAUGCAAAAACUGCUGGGUACAAUCAAUUGGGUCAGACCAUUGUUAGGAAUCACUAAUGCGGAUCUUCGUCCCUUAUUCGAAAUGCUUAAAGGAAGCUCGGACUUAAACGCUCCGCGAACUCUUAGUCCUGAAGCCAUAGCUUCCUUGCAUAAAGCUGCGGCAGCGAUUACCUCCAGACAAGCGCAUCGAUGGGAACCAGAAUUGCCUUUUCAAUUAAUCAUCCUUAACCCUGCUAGACAGCCUCAUGCACUUAUUUUCCAAUGGGAUUGCCAGAAAACGGACCCUUUACUGAUCAUUGAAUGGAUUUUUUUACCUAACCAAGCCACAAAGACGAUUUCUACCCAACAUGAGAUGUUUGCAUCUUUAAUCAUCAGGGCUCGACAGCGAUUACUUACCCUGGCAGGCACGGACUUCGCCCUCAUAUGUAUGCCGAAAGAGGUCCCCGCUGGAUCCCAGCUAAAAACGUGAGACCUUUUCGAGAGACAUUGCAGCAGCCUCCUGAAGACAUUCCUGGUCCUGAUCCUGCGACUGACAUAGAAGACACUACCGAUCAAUAAUUGAAUGAACUCUGUUCCAGAGGUUAACAAAUGGGAGCUUAAGUGUCCCCAAUGUGAAAAAUGUAAUCCGUGGAUUUGUAGAAUUUGUGCUAAUUGUGGAAAAUCACAGUGGCUAAAUCACCAUACAGUAGGACACUGGUGUGAUAACUGCCUAACAAUUGAGUGGAAUACAGUUCAGGUGUUAUUGAUAACAGGUAGAGAGACAGAAUAUUCUCCCCGGUAUGAUUAUUAUUCUGACGAUUGGGGGAAAAUUGUAGCACAAAGGUCUGUGGACAUUUUAUAUUCUAAGAUUGAAUGCGCCAAAGACAUUCAAAUGAGCAUUAUUAAUAGUAAUCCCAUGUGUGUUACAAUGCUUCCAAAAUCAAUAACUGCUUCAAUGAACAAGAUUUUCCUCGUGCAGCAAGGAGCGGACCAAGAUCAGAAAGAAAUUACGAAAACCCCCAGUACGGAGCUGUUAGUAAGAUGUCCUCGAGUUGGUCGUUUGCUGACCUUGGGAGGGUCAGUUAAUUAAAACAAAAAGGGGGAGAUGUGGGUUGUCUGAAUUUAGAGUUGAUGAGUUAGUUUUCUGUAUUUGGAGUUAAUAGGCUAGUUUGUUGUGUGAAUAAAGUUAAGUGUUGCGGUAGUUGUGAGGCGACUUGGAGGCGGGGAGCUUGUGGUCGGUGGGGGUGCCUGCGCCCUGGAGCCCUGGAGCGGGGGACAGCUUGUGACUACGAGAUAACGAUCUUGUUACCAUGCGAACACUGCCUGACUAAGAUUCCCGCCUUAGCUAGCUUAAUGUCUGUUAAAGUGAUUAGCCAAUCAGCAUGAAACAUGUGUGCCUUAGACUAUAUAAAUGUAUGUUUGCCAUACAAUAAAGCGGACACCUUGCUUGCA